ACCUCCUCGUGCUCCUCCUCCGUCUUCCGAGUGCUCGGUUUUCUUUUGCCGUUUGCUUGGCUAGGGUUUCCACGGGCCUCGCCCUUGCUCCUUCUUGCUCGCCGUCAACGUUACCCCGAUCAAUCCGUAGGGCUUCUUCUGUUCUUGGCUGUUUCUUUAGUGGGUUUCCUCGAUUAGGGCGUAGCUCUCCCUCGAAAUGGCGUCUCCUCGGCACUUCCUCUGACCAGUCUUUGGUGGAUUUCUUUGGCUGCUUCUUCGUGGUUCGGUUCCUUCUUUUCGGAACCUAGCUCUUGGCAACGAUUCCAUCCUGGUUCUUAGCUUGCGGGCUCGUUCUUCCGCUCCGUUGGUGGAAAUUUGGGAUCUUGGUCUCUCUGGUCCGGAUUUCGCGAACAUUUUCUAUGGAUUACGGUGGUGGAACUUCGUAUCCCGUAAGCAAUGCCAUCGCGAUCAUUCCGGACGCGUCUGGGCCUCCCGGCCGCGAUUCCUGGCUCCCAGGAGGGAGCGACCAGCUCCUGUGGGCGACCGAUGAGGAUUACCGUGCUUGGAGCGGAGACGCGUCCGCCGAUGCUGGCUUCAACUCUGCCUACGACGGCCGCCAAUCCCAGUCCCGGGCGGGCAGCGAGCAGCCUCCCGGCAAGAGAUCUCGGAACUCCCAAGGGGACUCUCAGGGUAAUAAUAGGUCCACCAGCUCCAAAGCCAUUGGGAAAAUGUUCUUCAAGACCAAGCUGUGCUGCAAAUUCCGUGCAGGGACUUGCCCAUACAUCACGAACUGUAAUUUUGCUCAUGGGAUUGAGGAGCUCCGCAAGCCGCCUCCAAACUGGCAGGAGAUUGUGGCAGCUCACGAGGAGGGCUCCGAGGCCAGAGAGGAGCGUCAGAUACCAACGAUGAGCUCGUCGAUCGUGAUUGGGGAUUCCGAAAGAUCCUAUAAAGGAAGGCGGUGUAAGAAGUUCUACACGGAAGAGGGGUGCCCAUAUGGGGAUACCUGCACUUUCAUCCAUGAUGAGCAAUCUAAGGCUCGGGAGAGCGUGGCGAUCAGUCUGUCACCCACAGUUGGAGGUAGUGGAUAUGGGGGUGGAGCGAAUGGGUCGACUCAGAAGCCUUCGAACUGGAAGACGAGGAUAUGUAACAAGUGGGAGAUGACGGGGUAUUGCCCAUUUGGCAGCAAGUGCCACUUUGCUCAUGGUGCAGCAGAACUUCACAGAUACGGUGGGGGUCUUAUGGAGACAGAAGGUAGAGAUGUCUCCUCGGCCACUCCAGAUUCAAAGCAAGCAGGGACAUUGACAAAGGCUCCAUCAGAUGCUUCUGUUGCUUCAAGCAUCUCGGUUCCUCAUGCAGAUAUGUAUCAUAUUGGUGUUCCUUCGCAGAGGUCUGCUGGUUCCAUACAGAGGCAGGGACAGAGGUCAGUUGAGAAGUGGAAGGGCCCGGACAAAAUUAGUAAGAUUUAUGGUGACUGGAUUGAUGACAUUGAGUAGAACCUUGAAUGCAGAAGCACCAGGUUACCUACUAAUAGAAUAAUUAGUCGGUUAUCUCCAUUUUAUGCUGUGCCACCUGAGAUAAAGGUUCUGUUCCGAGGUUGUGGAGUACUGAAGGCAGCUAGUGAUGUGCUGCCAUAUGCAGGAAGUGGGGUAUCUAUCGGCAUGGUAAUUAUAAAACCUUGGAAAUCUGAAGACUGUAUUUUGAGGAAGUGUGAUCACUAUAUGCUUCUUUUGCUGGUUUUCAAGAGUAUAUCUACGAUUGUUCACCUUGGAGACUGUGAUUUCAGUAUGCUGCUUCUCAAGAAAGUUUGCAAAAAUUGCGCGACUCUUUCAGCUUCAAGAAUCAGCAUUUCACUAACAAAGGCUUGAUAGUCCUUGAACCUAAAUUUUGGAGGCAAGUUGCUAACUCUCAUCAGCAUCAGUUGGUUCUUGGCUUGCCGCUGUGAUUGAUCCAUAUCAAGUAAACCAGUGUCAGCCAGACAUGACAAAGGUUUCUGGCUGGCUGCAAGAAUGCUUCUGAAGUUUAUUAUAGAACGGAAAUAUUGUACUCAAUAUCUCUGUGCACAUUGGGAGUCUUUCCUCCUACUGUUAACGUACUAAGAUGGCUAAUGAUGUUUGUGCCGCACCAGAGAAAGACGGGCGAUAACUCAGAGAAGUCAAAUAUGUCAAGAACUCUUCUGCUUCCCGUGAGAGUACAAAGAAGUCAACAUGUCAAGAACAAAGCAAAUGCCCAACACCCAACAAAUGGCUUUAGCCGCAUUUCUCAAAUAAUCUUAUCGAUGUGGUUGGGGAGGUCACCCAAGACUGGAUCUGAUCAUCUCAUAUGCCAAGAAGCAGGCGGCAUUGGCUGGCACACUGCGAGCCAUGGCUGGUCCAAAGCCUCUGUACAGGCCUUUGAUACCUUCGGCCGCCGCAAUCUUCCUCAAGGCACCGACCGAACCAGAGUACUUGGGGUUCUUGUAAUCGUCCACCUGGAUCACGCUCUUCACCACAUCCGUGGGAUAGACGGACAGCCAGAAGGAGGCGCCGCCCAGCCCUCCGGCAACCAUCAGAGGCCACCUCCCUAGUUCCGAAGUGUCCUUACCCCCUGCAAAGUACUGCUUAAGGGCUUCGUAGACGCCGAACAAGACGGCGUUCCCGGGGACUUCACGCGCCAAGGUCGGCACCAUGCCUUUGAAGAGGCCUCUCACACCAGCUUCUCGGACGACAUGCUUUGCCACGUCCAUUGGUCCUCCAUUCUUCGCUGCCGCAUAUGAGGCUGCUGAGCCUGCCAAGGCACUCUGCGCUUGCAGCCUGUUUACAAGGCUCUGCAUCAACUGUAGCUACUUGACGGCAACAGAUAAAAGAGCAAAGAGGAAGAAGAAGAACCUGCACUUGAUCAAUUCUGUAGGACAUGCGAGGAUGGAAACUGCAACUCCAGCAACAGCACCACAUACCAUUUGCUGAUUCACUGUGAGGGGAGCCCCCGGUUCUGACCUCAGCAACCCCUCCAUUUGUCCCCUCACCGUGAACAACACAGCAUUGAAUGCUGCGACGGUUGCAAGUGGAACACCCAUCCCUUUGUAUAAGCCCCUCGGUCCUUCAGCAACCAUUGUUUGCUUGACUGCAUCCAUGGCGCCAGAGUACUUCGGGGGUUGGCCAGGGAGUGGUGCUGGCUGGCUCUGGAGCUUGACCUUGAUGGUGUCGAAAGGAUGCCCCACGAUCAGCUGUGCUGCCCCUCCAACAGUUCCAGCAGUCAGAUCCUUGGCUGCAUCCCCCAUCUGUUACAGUCAAAAGAUCAAUGGCUGAACAGGAUUCAAGUUCUUUGUAAUGGGGAAGUCUACUGUCAAAUUUCCAUAACAAUGCAUGAUACCCCAGGUUAGUAUUGCAUUGUUCUACAAAGAAACAUACUCUUCCACUUGGCUUGAGCUACAACUUAGACAAUAGUUGCAAUAAAAGUAAGCAUUAGUAUGUCAUUGUGCUAAAAGAAGCAUUCUGUAUUCUGGAAAUACAUGAUUGGUUAAUUUUGAUAGGCAUUUUCAUCA